rnacentral:lncRNA from 1 species
UGGUCUCGUCAGGGGAAAAUAAAUUGUUAAAGUUCUAUUGGGACACCCUGUACAGUCGCAGUCUUGUGAUCCCGUAGGAUACACAUCUCAGUCUAACGCCCCGAGGGACGUACAUAUCAGUCUAACGCCCCGAGGGACGUACAUAUCAGUCUAGUGUUCUGCAGAAACACAUAUCAGUCAAAUGCUCCCGAAGGUGCACAAUAAAUUGGUGAUCCCGUGGGACACCUACAAGGUAAACAUCCCAAUACAAUCUAACAAUUUAUCCCCUCAUUCCAUUCAACCCAUCUUUCAGUUACUUCAAGUCACAAAGUUCUUUCUUUCAACAUCCUAACAGUCAACUUAUUUUACUACAGUCAUAUGUCUGUCAAUAAUAUGCUAAUACAUCAGUCAAUCCACUAUACAGUCAAUGCACCCCUCAGUUCACCAGCACACAGUCAUACUUUAGCGUAAUCAUACACCCAAUCUAAACGAGAAUCUCAUACAAACACAAUCUACAAUCUCCGUCCUGUCCACAUACACACAUUUAUAUAUAGAUUCCAUGACAAUCACGACAUACAUUCGACGUCAAGUCUACUUCAAUUCAUAUACAUUCAUAUAUAUUUUCAGUCAACCCCAGUAUACAUUCAACACACAUACAGUUCACAAUCACAGUUCACAAUCACAAUUGAGUCCAGUAGAAAAUCCCUUACCUGGAUCUUUAUGUAAAAUUCCUUAGUCGAACUAACUUCAACAAACAAACCCCAAGAGUAAAGAAUCGAACUCCAACAAAGCUUAAGGCGUAACUCAAGGACACUAACUCCAAAUCACCGAUGUCACCUUCAAGAACAAAGAUCAAUUCAACCAAUUAAACAACAUCACAUCUUAAUGUAUUUACAAAUGUAAGACCUUAUUACCGAACAAUCUCAUCCUUACCAAUAUCUUGUAACAAGACUUUGACAAUCGACGUUAAAUAGAAGUUGCCGCAGGAUCUACACAAAAGACAUCGUGCAAAACACUUUUGCACGCGAACUGGUCCGCGAUUCGUAAAUGGGACAGCGGGUAUCGACGAAGGCAGAACGGUUCGGACGUUCAACAGCAGUUACGCGCGGACGGGAGUAGCUCGGCAACGUAGCCGAAUUCGUGCGAUGCGGCGUGACCUGCGUCGGCGAGGCUGUUCGUGACUGAGGCGUGUGACUUGCCUCGCGGACGGAGAUAGAGACGGCGGAGACGGUUGCAGAACCGUGGCUUCGACAGAGACAGAACCGGCUGAGACGGCUGGGCAGCGGCGGAAGAGCAACGGCGCCGCAGAUCUGGACUGGCAAUGGCGCGAUCUUGCUUCGCGACGGGGCUGCGGACGGAAGAAGAAAAUGGAAGGAAAGGACCGGCGGCUGGCUGCGGUUGGCUGCGGCGGGACGGGAAGAAGAAGAUAGAGGUGGUGCUUGCGGCGGAAAGAAAAACGGAAAGAAAGGGAGGCGACGGUUUGCGAACGGGAGAGAAGGGGGAAGGGAUCGGCGCGCACGCAGAAGAAGAAGGGAGAAAAGAAAAGAAAAAGAAAAAGAAGAAAAGAAAAAUAAUAAAGAAUUUUUUUAAUAUUAAAAUAAUAUAUAUAAAAAUAAAUAAAUAUAUAUAUAUAUAUAAUAUAUAUAUAUAUAUAUAUAUAUUUACCUUUUCUUUGGGCAUUACAGGUUCGGUUUCAAUGAAGAUUUUUUUUAUCAUUUUGCGGUUCGAUUCGGUUUUAGCUUCAAACCGAACCGCGAACACCACUAAUAUGUAAUGUUGAGAUCAACUGAAUAUGUUUGUAAUGUAGGGACUUUGAUGAAAGAAUUGAAAAUUCAGGAAAUUGUAUGAAAAAAAAUGGUUGAAUGUUAAAUUGACUUAUGAAUAGUGUAUAUGAAACAAUACAUUAUAUAUUUUAUGAAUGAAAUGUUAUGCAAUCAAUUUGUUAAAUUGGUUUAUUUAUUUUAUUUCAAAUAUUUAUUUUAUAUGUAAUAAAUAAUAAGUUAUGUUUGAAACAGCAGUAUAAGGAUAUAUCAUAAUAUAUAUUGUUCAUUUAAGGUUAGUAAGAAUUUUAUAUUUUGUAUUUGAAAUAUACUAUGAUAUAUUGAGUACAUCAAAGAUGACAUCAUUUAUGUACUAUUGAAAAUAUGAAGUAGUAUAUAUAUGUAACAAAUCACAUAAGAUAUAUGUAUCAUGUACUAGUAUAUACGUCAUUAUUUAUAUAUACACACCUAAUGAAAAAAAGUAGAGUGUGUGGGACCCACGUAUAUAAAUAAUGAGAAAAUAAAAAAUGUUGGCCCAAUGUAAUAUAUAUAUAUAAGUAAAAAAUAAACUAUGUAGGGUCCACUGCAUGAAAAUUGUGUAGGGGUACAAAACUUCACCUCAACUCACCUAUUUUUGUCAAUAGUUUUGCAUUCACCUACUUUUGACAUAUGUUUCAAAAUUUACAUUAUUUUUUAAAAAAAGUUCUAUACAUAAUAAAUAAUAACUCGUGAUUGAAACAAGAGUGGUUAUGUAUGAAGGAUAGUAUAUUAAAUAUAAUAAAUUGAAAAACUUUGAUUGGUACCGUAGAUGAAAAUUUAUGAAAAAAUAUAGAAAUAAAAUAACUAAAUUUAAAACUGAAAUAUGAAUAUUUCAAAUAAAAGUAUAAAUCAACAUACUAAAAGUUUAAUAAUAAGAAAGAAAAAUUAGUUCAAUAAGGAAAGCUUGCAUCUCUUUCGUUUAUGACAACCACAUUUAAAACUUCAUUUUAGAAUGAAUUCUAAUAUUUUUUUGUUGACCAACUGAACGUUUUACAUUCAAUGGGAUGAUGUCAACUUCAAUUACUGUAUUAUUGAAUAUAUGCAUUAGUAUGUAUGUAACAAAUCAAAUAAAAUACUAAUCGAAUAUAGAAAAAUAUAAAGAAAAUGACACAAAACGUGAAGGAAAAAAACUGAACUAUAUAUGUGUCACAAAAUACGUGUUAUUAUAUUUAUAUAAAUGUAUAUAUUGAUAACAUCACCUGUCUAUGUAGUGAUAUAUAUUGAAAUUCAACUAUAAAUUAUGUAGAACUAUAUGUCACUAAAUAUUUAUGUUGUAAAUAAGGUGUAUCUAUAUAUUAAAUCACAUCAUAAACAUAUUAUAAUUUACGAGUAUAUUAUAGUAUAUAUUGUUCAUUUAAAAGAUAUAUGACAAAUAGAAGGUAUAUAAUUAUACGAAGUGAGAAUAUGUAUGUAUGAUAUUCUCACUACAUAUUAUAUAUACACUAAGAAUGUGUAUUUUACUGUUUUAGUAGUAUUUACUAUAUAAAUAUAUAUUUUAAAUAUUAAUUAUUAAUGAAUAUAUAGUUUACUACAUGUUGUUACAACAUACUUAAGAUAUAAAUGUUUAUAUGACUAACAACAUAAUAUUACUAUAAGAUAAACAAAAAAAUAAAGAACAGAUUGAAUUGAAAAAUAUUUUCGAUUAUUGUAUGUCACUAUAUAUGUCUGAUUGUAUAUAUCUCUAAGAAAUAUUACAUAAUGAGGUAGUGUAACGACCCAACUUUUCUAAGUAAGUCGAGAUCGUUAAUUUUUAACAAAUAAAGACUUUGAUUAAUAUAAAACAAAACGUAAACAAUUAAAAAAAAAACAUCUUCAAGUCAGGCCUGAUUUUUAAACAUUCAAGAAAACAUAAAAUAAUACUAUUUACAACAAACGUUUGUAAACUAAAUUUCAAUACAUUUUAAACCUCACAAGAACCCAUAAGCGGAAGCAAAAACACGUUUCCUAUGGCAUCAUGUUUCCUUCCUGCCCCUCGCCUGUUUGCCGCCUUUAUUACCUUUGCCUGAAAAUUAAACAUAACAAGGGUGAGUAUUUAAAUACUCAGUAAGAGACCCUCUACUGGUCUCGUCAGGGGAAAAUAAAUUGUUAAAGUUCUAUUGGGACACCCUGUACAGUCGCAGUCUUGUGAUCCCGUAGGAUACACAUCUCAGUCUAACGCCCCGAGGGACGUACAUAUCAGUCUAACGCCCCGAGGGACGUACAUAUCAGUCUAACGCCCCGAGGGACGUACAUAUCAGUCUAGUGUUCUGCAGAAACACAUAUCAG